rnacentral:rRNA from 1 species
GUGACUGCGUACCUUUUGUAUAAUGGGUCAGCGACUUAUAUUCUGUAGCAAGGUUAACCGAAUAGGGGAGCCGGAGGGAAACCGAGUCUUAAUUGGGCGUUAAGUUGCAGGGUAUAGACCCGAAACCCGGUGAUCUAGCCAUGGGCAGGUUGAAGGUUGGGUAACACUAACUGGAGGACCGAACCGACUAAUGUUGAAAAAUUAGCGGAUGACCUGUGGCUGGGGGUGAAAGGCCAAUCAAACCGGGAGAUAGCUGGUUCUCCCCGAAAGCUAUUUAGGUAGCGCCUCGUGAAUUCAUCUCCGGGGGUAGAGCACUGUUUCGGCUAGGGGGCCAUCCCGGCUUACCAACCCGAUGCAAACUGCGAAUACCGGAGAAUGUUAUCACGGGAGACACACGGCGGGUGCUAACGUCCGUCGUGAAGAGGGAAACAACCCAGACCGCCAGCUAAGGUCCCAAAGUCAUGGUUAAGUGGGAAACGAUGUGGGAAGGCCCAGACAGCCAGGAUGUUGGCUUAGAAGCAGCCAUCAUUUAAAGAAAGCGUAAUAGCUCACUGGUCGAGUCGGCCUGCGCGGAAGAUGUAACGGGGCUAAACCAUGCACCGAAGCUGCGGCAGCGACACUCAGGUGUUGUUGGGUAGGGGAGCGUUCUGUAAGCCUGUGAAGGUGGCCUGUGAGGGUUGCUGGAGGUAUCAGAAGUGCGAAUGCUGACAUAAGUAACGAUAAAGCGGGUGAAAAGCCCGCUCGCCGGAAGACCAAGGGUUCCUGUCCAACGUUAAUCGGGGCAGGGUGAGUCGACCCCUAAGGCGAGGCCGAAAGGCGUAGUCGAUGGGAAACGGGUUAAUAUUCCCGUACUUGGUGUUACUGCGAAGGGGGGACGGAGAAGGCUAUGUUGGCCGGGCGACGGUUGUCCCGGUUUAAGCGUGUAGGUGUGUGUUCCAGGUAAAUCCGGAACACUGAGGCGUGAUGACGAGGCACUACGGUGCUGAAGCAACAAAUGCCCUGCUUCCAGGAAAAGCCUCUAAGCAUCAGGUAACAUCAAAUCGUACCCCAAACCGACACAGGUGGUCAGGUAGAGAAUACCAAGGCGCUUGAGAGAACUCGGGUGAAGGAACUAGGCAAAAUGGUGCCGUAACUUCGGGAGAAGGCACGCUGACACGUAGGUGAAGUGAUUUACUCAUGGAGCUGAAGUCAGUCGAAGAUACCAGCUGGCUGCAACUGUUUAUUAAAAACACAGCACUGUGCAAACACGAAAGUGGACGUAUACGGUGUGACGCCUGCCCGGUGCCGGAAGGUUAAUUGAUGGGGUCAGCGCAAGCGAAGCUCCUGAUCGAAGCCCCGGUAAACGGCGGCCGUAACUAUAACGGUCCUAAGGUAGCGAAAUUCCUUGUCGGGUAAGUUCCGACCUGCACGAAUGGCGUAAUGAUGGCCAGGCUGUCUCCACCCGAGACUCAGUGAAAUUGAACUCGCUGUGAAGAUGCAGUGUACCCGCGGCAAGACGGAAAGACCCCGUGAACCUUUACUAUAGCUUGACACUGAACAUUGAGCCUUGAUGUGUAGGAUAGGUGGGAGGCUUUGAAGUGUGGACGCCAGUCUGCAUGGAGCCGACCUUGAAAUACCACCCUUUAAUGUUUGAUGUUCUAACGUGGACCCGUAAUCCGGGUUGCGGACAGUGUCUGGUGGGUAGUUUGACUGGGGCGGUCUCCUCCUAAAGAGUAACGGAGGAGCACGAAGGUUGGCUAAUCCUGGUCGG